rnacentral:rRNA from 1 species
GAUGAACGCUGGCGGCGUGCCUAAUACAUGCAAGUCGAGCGAACAGACGAGGAGCUUGCUCCUCUGACGUUUGCGGCGGACGGGAGAGUAACACGUGGAUAAUCUACCUAUAAGACUGGGAUAACUUCGGGAAACCGGAGCUAAUACCGGAUAAUAUAUUGAACCGCAUGGUUCAAUAGUGAAAGACGGUUUUGCUGUCACUAAUAGAUGGUUCCGCGCCGUAUUAGCUAGUUGGUAAGGUAAGGGCAUACCACGGCAACGAUGCGUAGCCGACCUGAGAGGGUGAGGGGCCACAGUGAAGCUGAGCCGCGGUCCAGACUCCUACGGGAGGCAGGAGGAGGAAAUCUGCCGAAGUGGGGGAAAGCGUGACGGAGAAGCGCCGCGUGAGUGAAGCAGGUCUGCGUAUCGUAAAACUGUUUUAAGAGGGAAGAACAAAUGUGUAAGUAACGAUGCACGUCUGACGGUUACCUAAUCAGAAAGCCACGCCUAACUCCGU